UUCAGAGUGGACCACAGCCUGAUGACCCCUGCUUUCAAGAAGGACCAUCCCAUCUUAAACAACAGCUCCAUGAAUACAACCCUCCCUGGGAGUGCAGUGAGGCCAUUUUUACCAGGCUGCCUGUAAGGAUGGGGUGGAGGAUUGGAUCUAUGGAUUAACAUUCCCUUUGGGGACGCAUCGCGGGCAGAUGAGAAAUUCCCGACAGCUUGAUGGUCAGGGUCUCCAUUACCCAUAUAUCAAGGAGAGGAAGACGGAUUCCCCACGCCGACUGCCUGCCCAGCCUCCCUGCCGACAGCCACCGCUGAAGGGCGGUUGAUGGAGGUUGUGACUGUCCCUGUGACCACCCUCCUGAGGCCCUAAAGCACAGGAGAACUCCAGGCAGAAACAGAUGCGGGGUAAUGUAGCCCCCCUCAGCCCCAGCUCCUCUGGGAGGGGCUGUUUUGUAAAUCACUGCCAGCCCCGCUCCUCCUGGCAGGUAAGAUUGAGGCAGCAGGGAUGUGCCCCGAGAAACAGAGCUGGUGGAGAGGUUUGAGGGGGCAUGUGGGUGACUGCCUGUCCCCACCAAGGGGCAGGGGCUGCCUUUCUAUCUGGGUCGGCAGACAGCCAGGCUGCCCCCAGGGAAGGCAGGGGUGGCGCCUGGGGUGGAUGCUGGCAUUGGAAUGCCCAGGUAAAACCCUGACUCCAUCCAUGUUAUUUAUCCUCUCUGAGUCUUCACUCUGUCGUCCAUGAGACAGGGGUGAUUGUAUGUGAGGAGGAAACCCAUGUGCCUGAGAACAGCGUGGUGAGGAGCUUGCACAUGUGGCACAGAGACGGUGCGCUUGUGAUUAGGUGGCCUGAGGGAAGGAGUACUGUGGCUGUGGGUGUUGGGCUCUGCUCCUCAGAAGACCCCAGAGGGCAGGUGGCUGAGCAGAUCUCCAGAGCUGGAGUGCCCAAGUGGAUUCUGGGGUCAGGAAAGGAAGUGAUAUGAUUGGGGGCCACAGUGGGACACUUGAGCCAUGUGUCCAAAGAGCCUCUGCACUCACAGAGCCCUUUAUCUUGUGGGGCAGAACACUCCCCCACCAUGAGGACUCUUCUGCACAUUUCAG
rnacentral:lncRNA from 1 species